rnacentral:rRNA from 1 species
UACGUAGGGUGCAAGCGUUAUUCGGAAUUACUGGGCGUAAAGCGUGCGCAGGCGGCUAUGCAAGUCAGAUGUGAAAUCCCCGGGCUCAACCUGGGAACUGCAUUUGUGACUGCAUGGCUAGAGUACGGUAGAGGGGGAUGGAAUUCCGCGUGUAGCAGUGAAAUGCGUAGAUAUGCGGAGGAACACCGAUGGCGAAGGCAAUCCCCUGGGCCUGUACUGACGCUCAUGCACGAAAGCGUGGGGAGCAAACAGG